rnacentral:rRNA from 1 species
UACGGAGGGUGCAAGCGUUGCUCGGAAUUAUUGGGCGUAAAGGGUAGGUAGGUGGUCUCAUUUGUCUCAUGUGAAAGCCUUGGGCUUAACUCAAGAAGUGCGUGAGAAACGGUGAGACUAGAGUACUGGAGAGGCUAGUGGAAUUCCCGGUGUAGCGGUGAAAUGCGUAGAGAUCGGGAGGAACACCAGAGGCGAAGGCGGCUAGCUGGACAGUAACUGACACUCAACUACGAAAGCGUGGGGAGCAAACAGG